CGACCGCAAGCAGACAGCGGUUGAGAAGUUGACUGCAGUUGUUUAACCCCUUUGUCUUGCUUUAUAAGUCAUCGAGAUCGUUUUUGGCUGCUAGAGGAUACGAAUGACGACAUUUAAUAUCGAUGAUAUUUUUUGGAUAUCUUGAGUAGUUACGUGCUGGAAUCUUUGUUCAUCAUCACUUUCUUCACUGAUGUUUCGUUGGUGUAAAAAUACUUUGAGAAAAAAAUAAACUUCAGUGAGAAAUAAAUUGGAGUAAACUUUAUUCAUUGAUUCUGAUAAUCAUGGAUCUCCUGUGCUGGUUCCGGAUGCUGGAAGCGCAGAAAUACG